rnacentral:rRNA from 1 species
UUAAGCAUAUCAAUAAGCGGAGGAAAAGAAACUAACAAGGAUUCCCCUAGUAACUGCGAGUGAAGUGGGAAAAGCUCAAAUUUAAAAUCUGGCAGUCUUUGGCUGUCCGAGUUGUAAUCUAGAGAAGUAAUGCCCGCGCUGGACCAUGUACAAGUCUCCUGGGAUGGAGCAUCAUAGAGGGUGAGAAUCCCGUCUCUGACAUGGACUACCAGGGCUUUGUGGUAUGCUCUCAAAGAGUCGAGUUGUUUGGGAAUGCAGCUCAAAAUGGGUGGUAAAUUCCAUCUAAAGCUAAAUAUUGGCGAGAGACCGAUAGCGAACAAGUACCGUGAGGGAAAGAUGAAAAGAACUUUGGAAAGAGAGUUAAACAGUACGUGAAAUUGCUGAAAGGGAAACACUUGAAGUCAGUCAUGUUGGCCAGGGAUCAGCCUCGCUUUUGCGUGGUGUACUUUCUGGUUGAUGGGUCAGCAUCAAUUUUGACUGCUGGAAAAAGGCUUGGGGAAUGUGGCAGCUUCGGCUGUGUUAUAGCCCCUGGUCACAUACAGUGGUUGGGAUUGAGGAACUCAGCACGCCACAAGGCCGGGUUACGACCACGUUCGUGCUUAGGAUGCUGGCAUAAUGGCUUUAAGUGACCCGU